GACGAACGCUAGCGGCGUGCUUAACACAUGCAAGUCGAACGGAAAGGCCCUGCUUUUGUGGGGUGCUCGAGUGGCGAACGGGUGAGUAACACGUGAGUAACCUGCCCUUGACUUUGGGAUAACUUCAGGAAACUGGGGCUAAUACCGGAUAGGAGCUCCUGCUGCAUGGUGGGGGUUGGAAAGUUUCGGCGGUUGGGGUUGGACUCGCGGCUUAUCAGCUUGUUGGUGGGGUAGUGGCUUACCAAGGCUUUGACGGGUAGCCGGCCUGAGAGGGUGACCGGCCACAUUGGGACUGAGAUACGGCCCAGACUCCUACGGGAGGCAGCAGUGGGGAAUAUUGCACAAUGGGCGGAAGCCUGAUGCAGCAACGCCGCGUGCGGGAUGACGGCCUUCGGGUUGUAAACCGCUUUCGCCUGUGACGAAGCGUGAGUGACGGUAAUGGGUAAAGAAGCACCGGCUAACUACGUG
rnacentral:rRNA from 1 species